UACGUAGGGUGCAAGCGUUGUCCGGAAUUAUUGGGCGUAAAGAGCUCGUAGGCGGUCUGUCGCGUCGGUCGUGAAAACUUGGGGCUUAACCCUGAGCUUGCGGUCGAUACGGGCAUGACUGGAGUUCGGUAGGGGAGACUGGAAUUCCUGGUGUAGCGGUGAAAUGCGCAGAUAUCAGGAGGAACACCGGUGGCGAAGGCGGGUCUCUGGGCCGAAACUGACGCUGAGGAGCGAAAGCGUGGGGAGCAAACAGG
rnacentral:rRNA from 1 species